CGGGAUGCGGCGCAGCUCGGUAGCGCACGUGACCGGGGGUCAGGGGGUCGCAGGUUCGAAUCCUGUCAUCCCGACCA
rnacentral:tRNA from 1 species